UCCGGUUUGUCACCGGCAGUCUCAUUAAAGUGCCCAACUUAAUGAUGGCAAUUAACGACAAGGGUUGCGCUCGUUGCGGGACUUAACCCAACAUCUCACGACACGAGCUGACGACAGCCAUGCAGCACCUGUGUUCAGGCUCCCUUUCGGGCACCCCCAGAUCUCUCCAGGGUUCCUGACAUGUCAAGGGUAGGUAAGGUUUUUCGCGUUGCAUCGAAUUAAUCCACAUCAUCCACCGCUUGUGCGGGUCCCCGUCAAUUCCUUUGAGUUUUAGCCUUGCGGCCGUACUCCCCAGGCGGUCAACUUCACGCGUUAGCUACGACACUAAGCGGUUUAACCCGCCCAACAUCCAGUUGACAUCGUUUAGGGCGUGGACUAC
rnacentral:misc_RNA from 1 species